GAAAUGCGAUAAGUAAUGUGAAUUGCAGAAUUCAGUGAAUCAUCGAAUCUUUGAACGCACCUUGCGCUCCUUGGUAUUCCUUGGAGCAUGUCUGUUUGAGUAUCAUGAAAUCUUCAAAGUAAAUCUUUUGUUAACUCAAUUGGUUUCUACUUUGGUAUUGGAGGUCUUUGCAGCUUCACACCUGCUCCUCUUUGUUCAUUAGCUGGAUCUCAGUGUUAUGCUUGGUUCCACUCGGCGUGAUAAGUUAUCUAUCGCUGAGGACACUGUAAAAGGUGGCCAAGGUAAAUGCAGAUGAACCGCUUCUAAUAGUCCAUUGACUUGGACAAUACUUUUAUGAUCUGAUCUCAAAUCAGGUAGGACUACCCGCUGAACUUAAGC
rnacentral:misc_RNA from 1 species